AACAACUGGAGGAUCCAAACUACACACUGGACAAACUCAAUGUGGACCAUGGAGGUCUCUUCAGGAUUACAGCAGGACUGCAUAAAUAUAACUGUCAUCUCACACUGGAUCCAAACACAGCACAUCUUCGUCUCGUUCUGUCUGAGGGAAACAGAAAGGUGACAUAUGCGAGAGAGUAUCAGAGAUAUCCUUACCAUGCGGACAGAUUUGACACAUGGUCUCAGGUUAUGAGCACUGAGAGUCUGUCCGGACGCUCUUACUGGGAAUCUGAAUGGACUGGACAUAAGGCUGUCAUGUCAGUAACAUACAAAAGAAUCCACAGGAAAGGAGUGAGUGAGGACUGUCUGUUUGGAUCCAACGAAAACUCCUGGAGUCUGAUCUGCUCUGAUGACACGUUCACUGUCUGCCACAACAACAAGGAAAUCGAUACUCGUGUCCCCUCACAUUCCUCAAAGAGAGUAGGAGUGUAUGUGGAUGAGUCAGCCGGCUGUCUGUCCUUCUACAGAGUCUCUAACACUCACAAUCUCACACACUUGCACACAUUUAACAGCACAUUCACUGAACCACUCUAUGCUGGAUUUAUGUUUUACUAUUUGAACUCCUCAGUGUGUGUGUGUCAAAUGGAAAUGCCUAUGAGCAACAACAGGGAAGUCACAAUCACCUGAUUGACCUGAGUCCCGGUCCCUUUGCCCCAUCGAUCUACAGCUUCAUGCGUGCAGAUGGCAGACAUAUUACAAUGGGCAGAGAAGACGGACAUCCAAAUCAAACUGCUAGAAAUGACAUUACUGCAUUCAUUAUAUUUACUGUAAAAUGAAGACAUAAAAGUGAGUGUUUCCAAGUACUGGGUUACAGCUGAAAGGACAUCCGCUGCGUAAAACAUAUUUUGCAAUAGUUGGAGGUUCAUUCUCCUGUGGGACAAAGCCGAAGGAAAAUGAAUGAAAACCAAAACAAAUUGUAGUUAAAAAAUGUUGAUGAUAAAAUACAUAAUUUUACUCCGAGUAUUGUGAUUGUUACCUUAUUAAUACUGUAGCUAUAUAUACGGGACUGCUGUGUGCCAUCCAGCUUAAAACAAAAUUGGUGUAGACAACUGCGUAACACCUCCUGCGGAAGUGAACCCCACAUUUUGUCAGAUUUAUUUUAAAUGAAAGAUAUUUCAGACAUCUAAAAUAGACAUUCAAGAUAUUCCUAACUAAAUCGACAAUAAACACACUUUCCUUAGUAAAUUAUAUAUACUUUUUGUUAUUAUUUAGCAACAAUCCUGAAAAGUCCUGACAAUCUAUAACCAUGGAAACGAAAAGAGCAAUACGGUCUCCCCUAUUCAUCUUAUUCUUCGCCGGCGAGCGGGCGCAGCCAUUUGAAUCUUUUUGGCUCAAGACAUUCGCUCUAAUU